CCGGCCGCGGCGGGGCGGACGGCGACGCCCCGGGCGCGGCGGGUCCCACCUGUUACACGCCGCCGCACUUACCAGCACAGCAAGUUGCAGAUGCUGAGCCUACAGUCCUGGCAGGUGGAACCUUGGCCUGAAGGACCUUGAGAAUUCAGCAAGGCUCAUGUGUCUCCAGAAACUGGAAUAAUACAAUCAAACUGGAAUCCAGUCUGUGGUGUGAUCUUGGGAGGAAAUAAGACUCAAAUUUGUUACUGCAAAUGUUCACCAAGGCUGCUGAGAAGAAAAAGUACUUUUUUACAGGUGUAAAGUUAGCUUCAUACAGAAGCAUAUUAAUUUAUUUUCCUCUCUUAGUUUUCACGGGAUAAAAAGGAUGACUCAUUUGGGAUAGUAACUGCGGUAGCACUCUCCCUUCAGCACUAAGAGA